UUAGAUUUUAUUUAUUAAUUUUGUUUAUUUUAAUUUUAAGUAUUAAAAAUAAUUAUACAGAAAAAAGUUUUAGUAUUGUUUAAAGAAAAAAUAAAUUUAAUAAUAGUUUAAUAGUAUUGUAAAAGAAAAUUGAAAUAAUUUGAAAAAUUUUUAUUUAAAAAGAAAAUUUAAUUUAUUGUACCUUGUGUAUCAGCGUUUAUUAAAUAAAAAAUAUUUAUAAUUUAUUUUUCUCGAUUUUAAAAGAGUUAAUAUAAUAUUAAAGUUAAUGUAAUAAAAUUAUUUUUCAUAUUAUAUUAGAAAUGAAAUGUUAUUCGUUUUUAAAGGUAUCUAGUUUUUCAAGAAAUGAAUUAAAUUCAGAAAUUGUAAAUUUAUUUAAAAAUUUGUUUAAUUAAAUAAUUUAUAAUUUUAAUAUUUUAUGGGAUAAGCUAUAAAAUAAAUUUUUAAAAAUAAUAAAUAAGUUUAAUAAAUAUAUGCUUAGAAUUAGCAAUUGUUUAUAAUUAUGUUAUAAUUUAUUUUAUAAAUAAAAUUAUUUAUUAAAUUUUAAAUAUUUAUUGAAAUAUUAUUUGUAAUUUUUUAAAUUAAUUAAUAAUGAUAAAAUUAGUAUAUUUAUAUUGUAAAAAUAAAUUUAAAUGAAAAGUUUAUGUAAAGAAUUCGGCAAAAAUAAUGUUCGCCUGUUUAACAAAAACAUGUCUUUUUGAAAUAAAUUUAAAGUCUAACCUGCCCACUGAAAAUUUUAAAUGGCCGCAGUAUUCUAACUGUGCAAAGGUAGCAUAAUCAUUAGUCUUUUAAUUGAAGGCUGGAAUGAAUGGUUGGACGAAAUAUUAACUGUUUCAUUUAAAUUUUUUAUAGAAUUUUAUUUUUUAGUCAAAAAGCUAAAAUAAAUUUAAAAGACGAGAAGACCCUAUAAAUCUUUAUAUUUUGUUUAUUUUAAUUAUAAAGAUUAUUUUUAUUAUAAUAAAUUAAAAUAUUUUAUUGGGGUGAUAUUAAAAUUUAAAAAACUUUUAAUUUUUAAAACCAUUAAUUUAUGAAUAAUUGAUCCAUUAAUAAUGAUUAAAAAUUUAAGUUACUUUAGGGAUAACAGCGUAAUUUUUUUGGAGAGUUCAUAUCGAUAAAAAAGAUUGCGACCUCGAUGUUGGAUUAAGAUAUAAUUUUGGGUGUAGCCGUUCAAAUUUUAAGUCUGUUCGACUUUUAAAUUCUUACAUGAUCUGAGUUCAAACCGGCGUAAGCCAGGUUGGUUUCUAUCUUUAAAAAGUUGUAAUAUUUUAGUACGAAAGGACCAAAUAUUAAAAUAAUUAUAUUUUACCUAAGAAUAUUAUUAAUUUAAA
rnacentral:rRNA from 1 species